rnacentral:lncRNA from 1 species
AGGGUCACUGAUCCCGACGACGGCGAAGGCUGAGCACGAUGGUGAAGCUUGAACCGGCGCUCUCAUGGUGGAAAGUAGCAGACUGAACCUAAGCCAUGGCGAUGGAGGAGAAGCUCGGGAGCGAGAUUGAGACCACGAUGACUCGAACUACGGACUCCGGUGACAGAGAAGAAGAAUCGUGGAGGUUCAGGUGACGGAGCAAAAUAACGACCACGACGGUGUGAAGCUGAAUGCACGCAUGAAUUGCAGGGAUUUGAAAUGAAAGUAUUGAUUGCGGAGGAUUGAAUCGAUUGAUUCUACGACUCGUUGCUCUUCGAUCCGAGAAAACGAAGUGAUGAGGGUGAGGAGAAUCGUCAUCCUUCGAGAUCGGAUCUGAUUUUUGUCGCAAACACAAAACACCCCGAAGCCCAAAGUGAAAUCACAUAAAGCCCAAAGCGUAAUAACGAAGCCCGCGAAAUAUUAGUCGACUUUAGACGGAGAAAAACCGUGAGUCUGACUUGGCGAAGGAAAAGAAUCUGAUUGGCCUGAAUAAAAAAUCUGACGUGGCACGCUGUAUGCUCUGAGUAUUCGGCUUUUAGUAGUGUUAGAUUAAAUGCUUUAUAAAUAAUUCUUGAUUAGCAACAAAACACUAAUUAACUAAUGUUACGGUUUAUUUAUUUUAAAAUUCCAGCGGAACUGAAGAAGAAAGAGACAAAAGCAAAGAGACCAUCCGUUAGGUCACUAUUCGGUACGUGAAAACCUCCCAUGCAACCAAAACUCUCACAUCCACUUUUAUAUCUAUUCGUAGCCCUAAUAACUGGUUUAACGUGUGUGACAAUCUAACAGAGAGCGAAUCAUCAGAGUCGUCAUCGGACACGUCACAAACGGUGGCUGGUACGGAGAAACAUACAAUCAACCGUUGUUUCUCGAAUCCGACAUCUCGUGAAAUUGAACGGAAGCUGAGACGUCAAGAGUCCAAGUAGAUUAUCUAUCUAUUCUACAUAUGUGCCAAACUAAACCAGAACUAUUGAAUUUAAAGUUACAGUAAACCGAAAUUAGUCCAAAGAAGAUUAUCUAUAUACAAUCUGGAGAUUCUUCUGAAUAACUAUUCUCACUUUCUCUUUCUUUUCACUCUAUUUUUCUUAUAUUAGCCCUAAUUUGUAAGAUGGAAUACAUUCUGUAAUAUUUAAUUAAUCUAAUUAUAUAACCGGUUGUUUAGUUAGCUAAUUAACCCUAAUGAUCAUGUAUUGAUAAAUCCGUUUUAAAUUAUACGUAAGAGAACCAGUCAGUAGAUAUUGAUACAAACACUAAAACGAGUUCUAUAAUCACCAGUUAUGAAAUUAGGAACAAUUGAAAUACAGUGAUUGAAGAUACAAUGGUCAUGAGAUGUGUUGUAAGAAUCAUGUCAUUAUUUUCUUGCCAUGCGAGAAAGAAAUUUAGAACAAAAUAUCCUAGCUAAUAUUAGUAUUUUGCAACAUCGAUUUCAGUAUUUGGUAUGUUACUUCUCAAUAUCCUGAUGAAAUGAAGAGAGUCUUGGGAUGAUUUACCGAGAAAACCGGUAACCUUUAAAUAGCACAUUUUACAGAUUAAAUCUCCAAAAUAUUAUUUGAGAAGUAAUUUGCUAUGUGUCAUUACUAUAUUGAUUUUGGAAAAGAAAAUGCUGACACAUUAUUUUAACUAUGAUGGCAUGCUUUAAAUUUAGUUGUGGCAUAUAUAUUUAUAUUCAAUGUUGAUUUAUAUUUUUGGUAAGUUUUUAAAAAUAUGCUAAUAACUUAUAAAUCAUCAUUAAUAUAACAAUAAAUAAUACAAUAGUAGGAACAAAAAUGCUGUUCAAAAAAAGGAACAAAAAUAUUAUUAUAAUUUUAAUUUUUUUUAAUUUUUUUAUAUAUUAUGUAAUUUUUACUACAAAUUAUUCAAAAUUUUAUGCAAGUUUUUUAAAAUUGUAAUUUUAUAAUCUCAAUACCAUUAGUUUCUUUUUAAUAUCUAUAAAUUUUAAAAUAUUAUUUAGUUUUUUUAUUUGAACAAUUAUAUAUCUAACAAUUUUUUUUAAUUUUAUAGAAUUUAAUUUAAUAUAUUUUAACCAAAAGAAAUAAAUAAAAACCUUUUCAAGAUUAUAAUUUAAAAUAUAUUCAUAUAUAUUAUUAUUUGAACAAAAACAUAUGUAUUAUUACAUAUAAAUUUGAAUAAAAAGUAUUUAUCUUACCUUAACUUUUGCAUAUAGUUAAAUGAAGAUUUAAAAUUAAAUUGUAAUUAAAUAAUAAACCUUAAAAUUAAUAAAAUUCUAUUUUUAAAUAUUGAAACUUCUAUUUCUACACAUGGUGCAAAUAUCACCUAGUAGACUAUUAAUAUGUCAGACAAAAAUAAAUUGUUUUCGUAGUUAAGGUUGUAGUAAGGAGGAGUAUGUAGUCUAGAUCCUCCGUUUUCAUGUAUGGUAGAGACCUUGACAAAUUACACACUAUGGGGACGACUCAGUAUUCUCUAAAAGGUGAAUUGCCAAAUCCAUCAGCUCAAAUGUGAAAUUAAACGUAAGAAAGGAGAAAAAUAAUGACAACAAAGCAUAGGGAUUUUCUAUUUUUAUUUGAGUGUAUACAUAUAUGAUGGUACUGAUUAUAAAAAUAAAAAUCCUCAGAUAAAUAUUAAAAAUUUAAACUAUUUCUGUCAAUCAAAUUUAAGAGAAUUAGAACUCAAAAAUUUAUUAUUAUUCUUAUAUUUUUGAUUGAGAAUAUUAUAGAAAUUCUAUAAUCAAAAUUUUAUAUGAAAUCAGGAUACCGGUUGGUUGAUGAUGUUGAUUUUUCAGAAGCUUCUAAUGUUGCAGGGUUCAUUACUCCUGUCCCUGGUGGUGUAGGCCUAAUGACAGUGGCAAUGCUGCUCAGAAACACCUUAGACGGCGCCAAGCGGGUCAUUGGCCAGUAAAAUAUCCUUUCUGUAUGUAAUCUAAGGUACAUUUCUAUAAUUGUGUUCUCGGCUUUGAUGGCAAAUUCCUAAUACCAUGGAUGCUACAAGCCAUCCUGAACCUCCCACCUAAGAUGCUUUAGGUCUAUCUAAAGUAGUUUCCAAGACAACGGCAGAAACACACUCAUGCUUUCUGCAGUUGAACAAAGUCUUGUAAGUAAAACGAAUCAUGCAAGAAAGAGAGAAGAUAGUAAAGUAGUGACUAAACUAUGAGACACAAACCUGCACUGGGAGAUAGAGUUUGAACUCCGGAGGAAGCUCUUCAUCUGAGUAGAGACGUUCAGCAAAAUAAAUCCUUCUGAGACGGCAGUUAGCAUGAACCUGAACUCGCAACAUUCCAUCCCUCAUCCAUCUUCAAUGGCAUUGUGCAUAUAUAUGGCUUUACUUACAUAUAUUCAACUAAAUAAAUCACAUUAAGAUUAAACAAUUACCAAUCUGGUAUUGAGACCCCAUGAGUUAUGCCAUACGAUUUCUUUAUGCCCUCCUUGUCUUGAACAGUGAUGCCAAAAAAUCUUCACAAUUUUUUUGUCAUAAACAAUGCUAGAUUGCUUGACGAAGAAAAAAAUAAUAAUGUGAGAUUACAGCUUGUAUACGACAGCCAAUUGUUGGGAGGAAAGCCUGCAAAUGGAUUACAAUGUUUGAUUAGCUAGAGUAACCAUUGUGGAGUUACCUUUUCUACAUGUACAUGUGCAUUGGUUUUUUAGAGAAUAAAAUGGAAUCAGAAAAGAUCCUAAACUAUUAUUUGUAUGAAACUCUUAACUGAAGCAAGGCGUUGACUUUUUUUGUUGCAAUCCUUGCUCUUCUGGUACCUUGCUUCAGUUUAUUUACUCUGUUGGCUUAAUGUCUGAACUUCAAGCGGAAGAAGACCACCUUUAAGUUUCAAGUAACAAAAGAUGUGAUAUAUUAAAAACUCAUCAUACACAAAAAUAACUGACGUGAUUCAGAGAAAGGGCUAUAAAAAUAUACAUAGGAUCUAUAAAGGGCUAUACAAAUUACAGAGGACUAACAAUUGCUUAUAAAAACGAUAAGAUCACAAGGCAAAUGAUUUAUUACAGCUUACCUUAGAGCUUUUUCUGCACCUGUAAACAUAGACAUGCACAAUCAAAAGUACGGAGGUUGAUUUGGGGUUAUUUAUGUAAUAUCAAAAGUCCGGGGGCAGAAGUGAAAGCAAUGGAAAUGUGAAGGACCAGACUUGCAAAUAGUGCUGAAAUCACCAUUGUCGUUCUUCCUCAUUCCGAUCCGCAACAGGGUCACUGAUCCCGACGACGGCGAAGGCUGAGCACGAUGGUGAAGCUUGAACCGGCGCUCUCAUGGUGGAAAGUAGCAGACUGAACCUAAGCCAUGGCGAUGGAGGAGAAGCUCGGGAGCGAGAUUGAGACCACGAUGACUCGAACUACGGACUCCGGUGACAGAGAAGAAGAAUCGUGGAGGUUCAGGUGACGGAGCAAAAUAACGACCACGACGGUGUGAAGCUGAAUGCACGCAUGAAUUGCAGGGAUUUGAAAUGAAAGUAUUGAUUGCGGAGGAUUGAAUCGAUUGAUUCUACGACUCGUUGCUCUUCGAUCCGAGAAAACGAAGUGAUGAG